rnacentral:rRNA from 1 species
GCGUAACGCGUGGGAAUCUGCCCUUUGCUUCGGAAUAACAGUUAGAAAUGACUGCUAAUACCGGAUAAUGACUUCGGUCCAAAGAUUUAUCGGCAAAGGAUGAGCCCGCGUAGGAUUAGCUUGUUGGUGGGGUAAUGGCCUACCAAGGCGACGAUCCUUAGCUGGUCUGAGAGGAUGAUCAGCCACACUGGGACUGAGACACGGCCCAGACUCCUACGGGAGGCAGCAGUGGGGAAUAUUGGACAAUGGGCGAAAGCCUGAUCCAGCAAUGCCGCGUGAGUGAUGAAGGCCUUAGGGUUGUAA